UCAAACGCAGGGAAGAAAGAGAGUACGUUUUCUGAAUCCAUCAUAGAGAGUCCGGACGGUGAAAGCGGAUAUGGAAGGAAUACGGAAGUGCAUUUUUGAGCGUGAAGAGCCGAAACAGAGUAAGCUUUUCCGGGAGCUCCCGAUACAGGGCUUGAGUCCUUAGGAAAAAGGACUUAUCGAGGCAUGUGUGGUGACACAUAUGCGAAAUUGGGUGUGAAUCACGAGUCUCUCGUCCCAUGG
rnacentral:ncRNA from 1 species